rnacentral:lncRNA from 1 species
UACGCCCAGGGUUUAAACUUAAAAAAACCCAAGAAACAAAAGACAAAAACUCAAACUUACAGAAAAGGUGCCAUUCGGAAGAUGCGAAGAAUCUGAAUCUUUUGAAAGUUAUUUGCCAAACUCAAGACCUACCGCCCACCGGCGCUUCCGUGUGCAUUUCUCCAGAGAAGGACAUCUUCUUACGUACGCACAACACAGCCGCUAAAAUCGAGAAAUGAACGAUGGUACAUUACCAUGGUCGAGUCGCAGCCGUUGGGGAGCGUGCUGGUGGGAGGUUCAGAACCAACAAUGCAGCCGUGGUACAGGCUCCGGGACCCCAGCGCAGGCCAGUUCGCGCCCCUGACCUCAGGGACCACGUCAUGUUUCAUCUCCCUGCCCUCCCUCCCCCUUCCCUCCCCAGCUUUCCCCGCACUGUAUAACCUAUUGCCUCUAGGCUUGAAAUACCUACUGUAAUUCCCAUUUCCUUGAGUGGAUCCUGCCUCACACACAGACUUCAAAGUCAAAGGGGCAAAGGUUUUACUGCAAACCUUGGCGAUAUGCGUGCGACCCUACAAAGUCCGGGGCCACGCGGUCAUUCCCAUCUGCCUCCCUGAUUGUCAUCAGGUGUGCCCGUGGAGAUCUCAAUUGUCCUCCUUCUCCGGGUGCAUUCGGCAAGGCUGCACUUGGUCACCCACUUUGAAGUCAGCAGUGACCUGUGACUCGCUUGGACAAGAGCUGAGCCACUUCAAAGAAGGAGCCUUGAGUCUGUGCGCAUCCACCAUAGUCCUUUUCCUCUCUUGGCCCUGGGGGAAACACGUGAGAAGGUGGGCUCCCCACCAGACUGGUUCCGAAGGGGCCACAGUAAAUACAGACACCCUAGCUGCGCACAGUGCCGAAGCACGAGCAAGGAAUAAGUACUGUUUCAAUCCCUUAGGCGUGGGAGCUGUUCGUUCCCAUGGCAGUGCCAAGGCUAAGUGAACCCACAUGCUGAGAAUGCAUUUGACAUUCCCCGAGGAUUGCUCACGCCCAGAGCGGCAGUAUGGACGGGGCUGUGGAAACCGCUUUCUUACACAAAUACGCGAUUUCUUCCUGCCCUUCCGACUUAGCUCCCCCAGGUGGACGUCUGGCACACGUCACAGGAUACCAACCUUCAUCCUGUUGAACCAUAAUGGCUUUUAUUAUGAGUCUUUCGUGACCUGCGACCCAGGUCCCACGAGAAAAGCCCAAGAGGAGAAUAAUCCCUCUCCCCACAACCCCGGCAGGGAAGACAAGAGCAGGUGAGUCAAGCUCGAGUCGUCAGCCGCUCUUACCCAAGACGCCGAAUCCCGAGGGAGGGUCACAAGCACAAGAGGGAAGGGGGAGGGGCAGCAGAAGGGGUCCCACCUGGACUGCCCUUGGAGGCGACCUUCGCCCCUCUCCCGCACCCCCCUAGGUUUCUGCUCCAUGAGCUUUUACUCCAACCUUCUCGCGGAUUUUAUCUGUGAUAUGCAUACAAAAUCCUCCCUUUCAACGCAUGAGGCAUAGACUUCCGCGAGUAGCGCCCGGGAACCCUGACCACAGCACAGAUUCACGAGCAUCGACUGUGAGGACCAUAUCCAGAGCCUGACAGCUUUCUCAGCACUUGAUAGACGCUGGGUGAACGUUAGCUUCUGCGUCAUCCUCACAUCCUUCUGCCUACAAGCCCUUUCCAGACGUCAAAUAAACAGGAAACCACUGGACA